ensembl:lncRNA
AUGUUACCAAGCAUAUAUUUUGUUUUUCUGAUCUCUUGCUCAGCCCUAGCAAAGAGUGAAGCUCUUUCAGUUUGGUGGGAUCCAGAGAUGCCUUCACAUUCUGAAACCUUAAACAGUUUGAUGGACGGCUAUGGAAAUGACUUACCGAAAAUUCGGCCAAACAUCAUCUUUUGUUGUGUGUGCCAAGAGGCUAUAAAGCGGGCUAAGACCGCAGUCUAUCAGAAGAUGCAACAGAAGAUAAAUGAUGUCUGUAACAAAUUCAUAAAGGAUUUUCGAAACAUCUGCCUUCAACGUGCAGAGAGAUAUCGGGACAUCAUACUGCACAAGCUCUUCCCUGGUGGGAGCCCAAGGGGAACAUGUUUUAAGAUAAAGUUAUGCUCAUAACAACUGUGCUGGUGGCUGUUGAAGGGAUACAUAUACAUGUUACUACCUCAUUUUAAAUGUCUUUACAUUAACAAAGCUGUUUUUCAUUAUUUCAUUCAGAAAAUGCAGUUAAAUGCCUUUAAAGUCAAAAAUGCCUUUAAAAUGUUCUAAUAGAUGGAUGUUUAUUGUACUGAAAAUAAUCUACUGAGUUUUUUUUUUGGGGGGGGGGGGGGGGUCUUCUGUAAGGUGUAAGAUUGUGUUGUUUUACAUUAAAUACGCAUUAACAAUCUAAUCAUUUUCAUGUGAUUUUCUCAUUCUGGUUGUUUUCUUCAUUUAGCCAAGCCAUGCCAAAACAGAUAAUGUUUGAACUCCAAUAAUUAAUGUCAUAAUAGCCAAAUGAUUUGUAAAAAAUGUACAGUACAUGAAUAAAAAAAAAAGCAAAAUAUGCA